CACUACUGAUUUUUGUGAGUUGAUUUUGUAACUGCUUGCAAAGAUUUCAGUGUGCUGCAACAGUGAGCUCAGGUUGGCCCUUGACUCAGGGGCUCUGAGCUCACAAAUGCUGUGGACUCAAUACAGAAAACAGCAAUGAUCACUCAAACAUGAACGGUUACCCUGACUCAAGCCAACCACUGUGUGAUCUCUGACCCCAACCCACCAUCACUGGGGAUCAGAGACCCUGCCUGAACCCCUGAGAGGCCCAUGUGGGUCACUGUAGGAGAGCAGCCAAGCUAUGGUGGAGACUCCUGGGAGUCGAAAAUGCCAGUAACAUGGAACCCCUGCCCAGCAGAGAUGCAGGCAGUAAGCAGAGCCAGCCCAGCCCAGAGGCCUGAAAACAACAGAGCCCUCUGAACAUGGACUGAAACCUUUGAAGCCAUGAUCCAGAAUUAAUCCUUCCUCUCUGAGUGGAUCACUCCCAGGCAUUUUGUCACAGCCGUGGAGAGCUAAGAGAGGUCCAGCGUCAAACUUUCUCCACCAAACUGGUCAUGUUUUCCACGAGUUCUUCUCUGAGGACAUACAACCUUUAACAUCUGAGGCAGUAGGCAAGAAAAUUUAACCUUAGCAUCACACUUUGUGUCCAGAAUUCUCCACACUGUGAAUUCGGAAGCUUGAUUCUUGGGAAGGCAACCGUGGAUUCCCUCUGAAUGUGUCUCAUGUGUGACUGUGGGACUAUAAAACAUCACCAGCCAGAGACGGCAGGGAGAUCAUUUACAAGAGUGUUUGUGAUGGGCUGGGGAUUUAGCUCAGUGGUUCCGGUGCCUGCCUUGCAAGCGCAAGGUCCUGAGUUCGAUCCCUGGUACCAAAAAAAAAAGAGCGUUUGUGAAAAGAAACAAAUUUAUUAAAAUUUUGUCCCAGAACUAUGGAAUUCCUCUCAUCAGCACAUACUUCCAAGACUGUUACACAUUGCAAGGUAAAUAUCUCUGAUAGUCUCAAACACAUAACAAAAUGAGAAAAUAGUACAGAAUCAUCACUUUUGUCUUCAACUUCACUGCUGCCUGAACCACAUCUCCCACUGAGCGCGUUCCAGCCAGGAGAGGAUGGGGAGAGAAUGCCCUGCACAGACAGAACUAAUUAUCCAGG
ensembl:lncRNA